CAGCUGUGGCACUAAGUUCAUCUGGCUCAUGAUGGAAUCCAUGACUAAAUGUGAAUUAAUGCAGCUGAAGUGCAGAAAGUGGAAUACCCUGUAUAGAACCAGAUUCCAGAUGUUACAAAGUCUUUGAAGUAUCAGUAGAGGAAAUGUCUUUUCCGAUUUAUUCUCAGACAAUAGCGCAUGUUGGCUUUUAAAUCAGCGUGGUAUUGAACUGAUGGUUGACUCUUUAUCUCCAAUAAUGCUAGAGGUCUACUUUUCCAUUCAGUCUGCUAGCUGCAAGGAGGUUUCAUCUUUUGGUGAAGAAGUUCUCAAGUAAUAUAGACGGAUAUUUUCAAUACUGUUUUAGAGAGAGCCAUGUCUUCAAGACCAGGAAGUAACAGAUAAAACCUCUUCUCCAACAUUGCUAUUCUAAAUCAUCUGUUUCACAUGCAGUGCGUAUGACAUAAUGGCUUUUGAUGAACAAAGCCUAAGAAGUUUAAGACUGUGUAAUAUGGAAUAUGAAGGUUGUCCUUUCAAACAAAUUUAUAGGAAAUUCAAGCUUGCUUCUGUAAUUAUGGACUUAAAUAUAGUAUGUGAGUAGAUCAUUUGAAAAGAUGCUUCCUGAAUUAUUAAUACAGUAUGUAAUAGCUGCUAAAUUAGGUUUUAUAAUUCUAAAUCAUCUUACGGAGUGUGAAGAGAAGUGUUCCAAAUGUAUCUUUGAAGACAGAGCUGGAAAGACAAAGCACUACAUUGAGAAUCCAGUGUCUGUGUCAUUCAUCCUGGUCACUGGGGCUUUACUGGUGUGCCCUUGACAUCAGGAUGGCAUUUCUAGGCAAAUGCUUUUGUACUUCUGUGAUAAUGUGGGAUCUGUAUCAGGUUAUUUUCAUCAAUAUUUGCAUUAUUGGGGUUAUUUAGGGAUAACAUAACAAUUACUUUAU
rnacentral:lncRNA from 1 species